UGUUUGAAAGAAUAAAUUGAUCGUCCCUUUGAAAUAAAAGUUAAGAUCAAAUCUUUUAGAAACGGCUCCCAAUGGCAAAUUACGAAAGAUAGGCAAUAGCGUCUGACUCACUUGGGCAUGAUUCGUCGAAGAUCGAGGCGCGCGUUCACGCCCGACAUGAUUCAACGUCCGGCCGUUGGGCCCGCUUGAAAUUCCAUGGCAUAUUCCGCAUGCCUUUGAACGCAACCCAACAGUUCUUCGCAUACAAAAGGGCCUUGUUGCUACGGGGCUGCUGAGCUCUCAAGGAUGUGAUAAUCUUUCGAGUCGUUCAACCUUCGACAAUAUCGUUGUGUUUACGAAAGAAUCCAUCACUUUGGAACAGAUACGAUUCAGGUUAAACAGGCAUAUAAUGAUUCCGACCAAAGGCGUCAUUCAACACCGAAAAUCCUUUUAAACCUGUAAAAUAAUGAAAUAUGAUUUACGUUCGUCGGCAUACCGAUAAUAUAUAUAUAUCCGCAAGAGGAAAGUUAACGAGGACAGGCUCGAUGGCGAUUGGCAAAUACAUACAUACAUACAUACAUGCAUACAUACAUACAUACAUGCAUAUAUAUAUAUAUAUAUAUAUAUAUAUAUAUAUCGAGAACAGUUGAAGAACACGCGGAGUUACAAGAAAGUCAAUCUAGUUCGUCGAGUCUAACGGUGGUGCGGUAUGAUGUGUGGUGUGUUUGCUCGUAGUAGUAGUAAUAAUAGUAGUAGUAAUAGUAGUAGUAAUAAUAGUAGUAGUAGUAAUAGUAGUAGUAAUAAUAGUAGUAGUAGUAAUAUUAGCAGUUUGUAUACGGUGUGCACGCGCCUUGCGUUGACGACGAAGUAUGUACAUACGUGAGUGAAAGAGACCGAGUUGGAAAAAGGUUAUUACUUCCCUGUCUCUGUAAGACACGGUGAUACGUAAUAGUAUCACGGAGCCAACCAAGGCCGUAAAUCAGACGGUUUUCAGGAGCUGAGGUUGAACUCGGUCUCAUUAAUAUCGACGGCUUUCGAUCUUAUUCGUUUUUUUCUCUCCGCCUCUCUCUCUCUCUUUCUCUCCUUCUGUUCCUCUCUCCAUUUGAAUUAAUCGUUUACUUUAGAACGUUCUCGAAAUAAGACAUCGAGCAAAUAACUGUCUCGUAUAGAGUAGGGAGCAAGCGAGAGAUGGAAAAGUGGUCUAAAGCAGGGCUAACGGAAGGUUACUGACUCUGUUGAGUCAUAAGGUGCAGCCAGUAUGAAUCGUGUGUCCGCCAAGCAGCAGUCAGCCCAGUCAGCCAGCCAGCGAGCAGCAACGCGUCGCUCUUUGCCACGCAUUGUGCGUGCAGGUUGCACGGAGGGCUCAUGAACGAUGCGUACCUACUCCGACCACGUACCGUGAGUCACGUGGGAAGCAUGCGUGAAGUUAUUCGUCGGCAGGUUCGGCGGUUUACUCCUUUACCAUCUCAUUCUACCUCCUCUUAAUCUCUCUCUCUCUCUCUCUCUCUCUUUCUCUCUCUUUCUCUUUUUCUCUUUUUUUCCACCACUAGUAAGAUUCAUCGAUAUCUCAUGAGUAUCUCACUUUUCAUCGUAUCUGUAAUCGACUUGAUAACAUACACACAUACAUACAUAUAUAUAUAUUUGAAUUAUUAUUCUUAAUAAAACGACUUGGAAUUUAAA